UGCCGGGUAGAUCAAUUGGCAGAUCGUUCGGCUCUGGACCGAAAAGUUGAAGGUUCGAGUCCUUCCCCGGCAG
rnacentral:tRNA from 1 species